CCCCGGUUGGUGUAAUUAGCUAGCACAUUUUUCAUUGACCGCGAAUGUCGAAGGCUGUAGGUUCAAGCCCUGCACUGGGGG
rnacentral:tRNA from 2 species